UACGGAGGGUGCAAGCGUUAUCCGGAUUCACUGGGUUUAAAGGGUGCGUAGGCGGGCAGGUAAGUCCGUGGUGAAAUCUCUGAGCUUAACUCAGAAACUGCCAUGGAUACUAUUUGUCUUGAAUAUUGUGGAGGUAAGCGGAAUAUGUCAUGUAGCGGUGAAAUGCUUAGAUAUGACAUAGAACACCAAUUGCGAAGGCAGCUUCCUGGCCUGUAACUGACGCUGAGACGCGAAAGCGUGGGGAGCGAACCGG
rnacentral:rRNA from 1 species